AGGUUUUAACUGAAAGGAAAUUGAGUGAUAUCUUACAAAUGUGGGAAAUGACAGUAAUUUAAAGCGACUUUAUAAAACUAAAAUAAACGCUUUACUGUUUUUUUUUUUAAAAACGGAAUGCAAGCAAGCAAGCUUGGAGAGUUAAUGUUGCUCUGUUUUACCUUUAUAAAGUGAACGCACAAACUUUUGAGGGAUUGUAUUUUUUAUAAGGAGAUAGAAGUAAUCCACCGAUGGGGAUAGAAGGUGGUUAAAGGAGCAACGGAGAUUAGACGUCUUCAAACGCAACUAAUAUUCUGUCUUAACUAUCAAAUUUUAAGUGUGAAUUUUGUUGAAUUACACCGCAGUGCCGUGUUUAAGUAAAGAAGGAUAAUGGAAGGAUGCAUUCACCAUAGCCAUGGUUGAGCUUCUGGCUGACGUUGUAGCUACACAUGGAUUCUAUCUAGCCUCUGCAAUACAUCUUAAUUUGUUGUUGACCAACAGCCGUUUUCUCCUCGGUGAAGAUAGAUUGGACUUCGAGAUUCACUCACUACUCAAACGGACUGAACUUUUUAUUCCGAGGACCGACCGAGGUCUUACUUCGUUUACCAGACUCUCACCAGUGCUCUCUUUCUUCUUAAUGAUGUUCCAAACAGUUGAUUUUGGUUAGCCGAAGGUUUGGCCUAUGACUCUGACUAUUAUUAUUAUGAUGAUUAUUAUUAUUAGGAUGACGAUGAUGGUUGUCGUUGUUAUUGUUGAACUAUAGGUAAGAUAUUGAAAGGCUUGCUAAUCAUUAACCAAAGCACAUAAUUAUCUCAAACUAACUGUAUCUGAAAGAGUGCCCCAUGUAGACAUAUCCUCAACCUUUCCCUGAUGUGAAAUCAUUUUUAUAAUUUACAUUUUUGUUCAAAUACAGUGUAUAUUCAGUGUUUCACUGCUGGCUUGGAAUAGGUUAUUAAAACCAGUUUUGCUCCUUGAACAAAAUAUACAGUGUCAUGAAAACAUAUUUGCCACUUUCCUGAUUUCUUCUAUUACUGCAUAUUUGUCACACUGAAACAAAUUUGCAUAAAUAUGCACACUUGCAAAAAUUCUGUUCUUAUUCUGCAUCAGGAGUAAGUAGCGGUGUGGAUAUGCACCCAUCUCCCUGAAGAUAAUUACCCUCUGGAAUCUGUGCAAUGUGACUUAACCAAGCGGCCAAAACCAGACUUCGUUUUUGAAGCUCAUUUCCUGGUCUUGUUGUUCCUGGUUGUUCAAUAGCGCCGCUGCGGUUGGCUCCAGUAUAGGUGUUUUCAUAUCCGGUUUCCAUGUAAAUCUACGGUACAAAUGCGGUCAAAAUACAAAGUCAAUAAUUUUUUCUCACAAGAACAAAUAGUCACAAUAUGUGUAUUUUAUUCGUCUUAUGACUCUCCAUGGGUCGAUUUCAUGAUUUAUUGUGUCAUUUGGUCACUUGUAAUAUUUGUUGUGGACCAAUGAGGUAUAGUUUUCGUCACUUCCUGAUUACUGCAGAGGACUAAGCUACAGUAGGGGCUACAGUCUAUGGUCACCGGGGUGGGAGGUGGCGCCUCUUGGCCUUGACAUUGACCAAAUACUAAACAUGACUACUUUCCUUUACAUACAGUGAUCAUCAUAAAUGGAAAUCCAGCUGUAUCUCUUUACAAAUAAAAAUAUUUGGGGUAACUGUAUGAUGUAGUGUUUCAGCAACACUGGUUUACCAGAUACCAGUGAAACAUAUCAAGUCUAACAAGGACCCAAAGGUGCUCAAUUGAAUUUUGAUGUUGCUCAGCACACCCCAUCAAACAUCACUCAAUGUUGACUAAUUCACUGAUUUUACAGUUAUUGAUGACAUAUCUUUCUAUGUUGCGGUUAAGUAUAUGUUUAAUAGAUGUCAAUUUUGUUUUCUUUUUUGUGAUGGUCAUAAUUUAGAAGCAGAAACAAAUUUUGCUCAGAGGGGGUGUACUCAUUUGCAACAUGGCUUUUUAUAAUGUUGGUUAAAUAAAACAUACUUUCCUGUUUAGCAUUGCAGUAUUGCUGAAGCACUACAUAAUAUAGGAACCCCAAAUCGUUUUUAUUUGUAAAGCGAUAAAGCUGGAUUUCCAUUUUUCAGAGAGGGUGUACUCAUUUAUGAUGUGCACUGUAACAUUGCUGUGUCCCAAGCAUGGUGCCCUAAAAUUGGGGGGAUUAUGUAUAAAAAGGUCUGUAAUUCAUACACGGUUCACCCGAUAUGGAUGUAAAUACCCUUUUUUAUUACAAAUCUCAAAUUGUGGAGUACAGAGGCAAAUCAAUAAAUGAUGGGUCUUUGUCCGAAACAUUAUGGAGGGCACUGUAUUCCUAAUAAUAUUAAAAUGUGUUUAAUUUCAUAUAUUUCUGCCUCUGCUGCUGACGUUGAGAGGUCCUUGACUUUGCCUGACAGUCCUCGAUUGAUUGUUCUCGGUAUGCAUGUGUCCGAUGGAACAGACAAGUUGCUGGAUGGUGACCAUAGAGAGCCAAGUGUUGACUGAGGGGGAGUCAUUCACAUUGGGGUUUGCCACACUGGUUUCCUGCUUCUAUAACUUCAACCUGAAGUAUCAGGAUGGUGCUUGCUGCACAUUGGAGUUCAUCCAGAGAUUCUUUAUUGGUAUUAACCCAGAGCGUGGGUCCAAAGCUCGGCAGGGGAAGGUCAGUAGCAAGCGUUCUGGGAAGGUGGUCCAGAAAAAACAGACAUCUCUUAAUCCUCAUGUGUGCACCUUCAUGAAGAAAUUUAUGGACUUUCAGUGGGACUUUGUCUAAUGUUUUUCUAAGGUUGCAGAUAUUCAAAUUUAAUUACUGCUAGGUUCACCCGAUAUGGAUGUAAAUACCCUUUUUUAUAACAAAUAAAUAAAUAAAGGCAAAUAAAUAAAUGAUGGGUCGUUGCCCCAAACAUUAUGGAGGGCACUGUAUAUGUUUUCACUUAAGUUUUUGUUUAGUGUGUUCUACAGUCAAGGAGAUCAGGAUUUGAGUUGACCUUAAGGCAAUCUGUUUGGACUUUGUACUCCAAAUAAGUUUCUUUUUAAUCACAUUGCAGCUAUUUUUGCUGAUUUUUGAAAUUCCAAGCACUUUACUUUUUGAAAAACUGAAAUAAAAAAGUAAGAAUACAUUUAA